UAACAUCACAUAUGAAAUGUAUCAAGAAUCACUGUCCUUGACACUAAAUGAUUUGUUUCUUUCAUGCAGAAUGCUCAAUCAGACAUGUGGGUUUGAACUUUUAAGUUGUUCUGUUUUGUGAAGUUCCAAACUGCAUAUUGAUUCAAGCAGAAGCUACUUCUGAAAGGGAAUUCCAGCCCCUCUGUGAGAGAAAUGCAAUGAUCUGCUGGGCUGUCAGCACCAGGAAAUGCGCAAAGCAUCAACAUGCCAGGCUCGCCAGGCAGCUAAGUUGCUGCAUUUGUGUCACAAAUCCAAUCUGAGUGAAAGCCCUGUAUCAGCUCUGGGAUCUGACUCAGCUGGAGUGAUGAGCUUUCCCUGGUUUGCAAUGCCAAACUGGCCUCUCUUCCAAAAGGCAGAAAAUUUGCAGGGCAGCUGGAUGAAGAGGACCUGUGACACUUUGACCUCUGCAGUAUAUUUUUCAGACUCCAGUGCAUCAGGAGAGCUCAAAACAUUACUUUUAGAAGUGUUUGUUUAAAAAGAAGUUUCCCCCAGUCUGAGGAAGAUUAAGAAAUUGCUCCAAGUUAUAUUUUCAUUUUGAAAAUUCAUCUGAAAUAUUGAGCAAGAAAGCGAUGAAGAGUCUAAAACAUGUUCUGUGAAAUGCUUUGGGGACUUUUGGAAAAGCACCUAAGAAAGAGAAAAAGAAAGAGAACAGAGUGCCCCCAAACUGCUAUUUUGAUUAGAACAAAAUUCUCCAAAGAAAAAUCCAUGAAGCUGAAACAGAAGAUUUUAAAGACAACUCCACAGCACUAAAAUUAUCACUUUGCCACCAUUAGCUGAAAAUAGGGGCAAAAGUAAAUUAAAUUGUCAGGAAAUAGGGUGGCAAGUUGCUGGCCACAGCAAACCAUAACAUUAAGAUAAAUAAAGUAACAGUUGGAAUGUGAACAUGCUGCCCUGAAAAACUGAGAUAAUUGUUUACAGUUUGGGAUGUGUGGAAUGUUGGCAUGCGUCCAAGUAAAAAGCGGAGCAUGCUCAGUACAAAUGUGGGCUAAAGGUGAUCUAAAUAGGUCAGUGGAGCAUGCUCAGCACAGAAAUAGGCUAACGUUUACAGACCAUAAUACUAAAGAGGCCAUAAUAUUCGGUUACCAUAAUAUUCAGUACAGCCUAUAAUAUCCAAAAGUGGUAAACACUGACGCAACAAUCAUUUUUCCAACAAUUGUGAUUGGAGAAUAAAGAGAAGGAUUAAAAAGUAGCCAAUAGAAUGUUUGCAAUGAUCAUAAUGUGGGUGUGCUCAAAAGGGGUCUGAUGACUGGCAAAACUGUAUAAAAGGCAGUGUGCCAAAAGGGAUUUUUAAGUCAUCGGUUAUGGAGAGGGAGAAGUCAGGAGCAGGAGAAGUAGAAGGAAGAAGAAGAAGCAGGACCAGCUGCAGGGUGAACGGCAAUAGAGGUGGCUGCUGGUACAGAGCAGAAAAGGACCAUGACAGCAGACGGAGAGACGCCUCCAGAGAAAAAACUGUGAGAAGACCAAGAGCUCUCCUAGAGCCAACAAGAACUAAAGAACAUGCAGAUGGUGCUCUCUCUGGCUAAGAAAUUAAUAACGAAGAAAUUUCCCCUCCACCCCAAGGCCCUCCAGUUGUGGAGAGGAAUAGAGAAUCUGAUGGCAGCUCUGAGUAAGGGACAGUAACGGCAGUGAAUUGAGGUUAAGUGCUGCUGAGCCUUUUAUGGAUGAGAAUUACCAUUACAAUUAGUGCCUAUGGACAGGAACUCUCUUCCUCUACGACCAACAAGUCCAAAAAUUAACCUCCUGUGGAACAGAUGUUCAUAUGCCUUUCCUGAUCUGCAUAGCACACCACAUUUAUCCUUUCUUGUUAACUCCACUGAAUUUUCUUCCUCGCAAUGCAUUCUACACUGGUUUGAAAUGUUUCACCAACAAUUAAUUUCUUACUACCAAAGGUUAUGGUGGAUUCUCCACCAUUGAACAUUUUAAAAUCCAGAUUGGAUGUUUUUCUAAAAGACAUGCACUAGUUCAAACAGGAAUUAAUUCAGAGAAGUCCUACAGCCUGUGUUAUGCAGCAGGUCACACUAAAUUAUCACAAUGGUCCCUUCUGACCUUAUACUCUGUGAAAACUGGUAUUCUAUGUCUAUGAGAGAGAGGACAUAUUUAAACCAUAGCUUCAGGGCACAUUCAGUUAGUGGAACUUCCUAGGCUAGCAGCUCUGAAGGCUAAAUUCUGAAGGCUGAAUCAAGUGCUGUAGUACCUGAGCACUCUUGUUACCAAGUGGUUUGAGCAGGUAAAUUUUAGUCUAUUUACUAUAUUAAGUUCAAUUGCUAUACUCAAAGCAUUUUAAGGAGGCACAAUUAAGUACUAAAAAUGAGGAGCUGCCAAACUUUAGGUUGCAUGUAGAAUUGUACUUUGUCACAGUAUUCCAUACACACAAGGGGCAAUCAGGAUCCAGAGACCCACCCCAGGGAAAAUUAGGUGGUCUGAACCACAAAGAGUAAGCAAUUGAAUCAACUGGUUGUAUACCAUGUUAUUGUGGAUAACUGUGUGACAAUAAGGUCUUUUGUGAAAGCUUGUGUAACCCUUCUGCCUGUCUGAGUUGGCAGCAACAAGGGCCGGGUUCAGUAUCUAGGGAUUCCGUUUCAGUAACACAAUGCAAAACCGGCUCAAGCCCCCACCCAGUGACCUGGGACAAU